AGUGGUAAUGCACUCGGCAAACGGCUCAGUAACACGUGGGUAAUCUACCAUCAGGACAGGGAUAACCCCGGAAAACUGGGGAUAAUACCUGAUAGGUGGAGAAGUCUGGAACGACUCUCCGCUCAAAUGCUCCGGCGCCUGAUGAUGAGCCUGCGACCGAUUAGGUUGUUGGCGGUGUAAUGGACCACCAAGCCUGAGAUCGGUACGGGUGUUGAGAGACAGUGCCCGGAGAUGGGGACUGAGACACGGCCCCAGGCCCUACGGGGCGCAGCAGGCGCGAAAACUCCGCAAUACACGAAAGUGUGACGGGGGAACCCCAAGUGCGCUCACGCAAGUGAGUGCUUUUGUGAAGUGUAAAUAGCUUCACGAAUAAAAGCUGGGUAAGACCGGUGCCAGCCGCCGCGGUAACACCGGCAGCUUGAGUGGUGAUCACUAUUAUUGGGCCUAAAGCGUCCGUAGCCUGUUUGGUAAGUCCUUGGGCAAAUCCUGUCGCUUAACGGCAGGAAUUCUGAGGAUACUGUCAGACUUGAGGUCGAGAGAGGUCGGAGGUACUCCUGGGGUAGCGGUGAAAUGCUAUAAUCCUGGGGGGACCACCAGUGGCGAAAGCGUCCGACCAGAGCGAGCCUGACGGUAAGGGACGAAAGCCAGGGGAGCGAACGGGAUUAGAUACCCCGGUAGUCCUGGCCGUAAACGCUGUGGGCUAGGUGUUGCAUGCUCUACGAGGGCAUGCAGUGCC
rnacentral:rRNA from 1 species